rnacentral:rRNA from 1 species
AGGGUGACAGGUGGUGCAUGGUUGUCGUCAGCUCAUGUCGUGAGAUGUUGGGUUAAGUCCCGCAACGAGCGCAACCCUCGACCUUAGUUGCCAGCAUUCAGUUGGGCACUCUAAGGUGACUGCCGGCUAAAAGUCGGAGGAAGGUGGGGAUGACGUCAAAUCAUCAUGCCCCUUAUGACCUGGGCUACACACGUGCUACAAUGGGCGGUACAAAGGGUCGCGAACCCGCGAGGGGGAGCCAAUCCCAAAAAGCCGCUCUCAGUUCGGAUUGCAGGCUGCAACUCGCCUGCAUGAAGCCGGAAUCGCUAGUAAUCGCGGAUCAGCACGCCGCGGUGAAUACGUUCCCGGGCCUU